CUUCGCAAUUGGCAUUACAUCCCAUAGCCAUAGUGUGGGCCAAGCCAUCUCUCCGAUUCCUCAUCAGGGAAUGAUGAUUGGAAAUCCUGAAAUCCCAUGAACUCUAAAGAAUCAGAGUUGUGGAUGACCAAAAGGGCCCUGGAGAGGAGAAUGGCAGGAGGAGAUCAUUUCCAAUGCUGAUCUAUGAACAAGAAGUGGUUAGGAAGGAAACACAUUAUCAAAAAGGAGAACAGCUAUCUCUAUCCUAUAUCACCAAGACACCAACAGAUCAAGCCCCUUUGAGUUGGGAAAUGCUC